ACAGGUAGUUGGAGUUGAAGAGACAACAUGUGGAAGGCUGGAGAAGCUGGAUCAAAUAAAGGAGCAACCGUGAGUGAGUAGCAGGAAACAGGCAAGGGUCUCAGAGUGAAGCCCAACUGGAGGUGAUGGAUUUCCAUAGCAACAGACAUCUGAGGAGGAGGAGUCUGCAUCCCAGCACCCUUAUUUGGCACACGAGAGGGCAGAGACCUGCAGAGGUCAGCCCAGGGAGAGGCAGAUGGAACAUCGACCCCUGACACUUUUGAUUUGAUAUUUACUAGACAUCUCCCUUGUACCACGGAGCUGAGGCCUAAAUAACAUCAACACAGACCAAGUCCUCACGGGACUUAUGCUGAUAUCUUCAAAAGGAGCCGUGGCCAUAGCCAGUUUUCUACGGCAGACACUUCCCUGGCUGUGUUCAGGGAGAUGCCCAGAGCACAGGACAUUCCUGGUGACAACUUCUAAAGACCUUUACCUUGCUUUUGAGUAGCUGAGUCCAGUGAGCCAGUGAGGCUGUGAGUUUUAGAACGAGAUAAAGCUGAGUUCACCCCUAGCAUACAGCAGGGGCACACUGUGUGCAGAGCUGAGCUGCUCGGCUGUGGCCAACUGCCUGUCUUCCAGCUGCCCUCCUUUCAUGCCCCUCUGCCUUCUCUCCUCUUCAUCUUCCUUCCCCACCCCCUCCAGAACUGUCCUAUGACAAAAGGAGGCCUCCUGUAUUUUUUCCUACCAUUUCCUUUCCU